CCUACGGGAGGCAGCAGUGAGGAAUAUUGGUCAAUGGACGCAAGUCUGAACCAGCCAUGCCGCGUGCAGGAUGACGGCUCUAUGAGUUGUAAACUGCUUUUGUACGAGGGUAAACCCCGAUACGUGUAUCGGGAUGAAAGUAUCGUACGAAUAAGGAUCGGCUAACUCCGUGCCAGCAGCCGCGGUAAUACGGAGGAUCCGAGCGUUAUCCGGAUUUAUUGGGUUUAAAGGGUGCGUAGGCGGUUUGAUAAGUUAGAGGUGAAAUGUCGGGGCUCAACCCCGAAACUGCCUCUAAUACUGUUGGACUAGAGAAUAGUUGCGGUAGGCGGAAUGUAUGGUGUAGCGGUGAAAUGCUUAGAGAUCAUACAGAACACCGAUUGCGAAGGCAGCUUACCAAAAUAUAUCUGACGUUGAGGCACGAAAGCGUGGGUAUCGAACAGGAUUAGAUACCCCAGUAGUC
rnacentral:rRNA from 1 species